GUGGGUGUAGCUCAGCUGGUAGAGCACCUGGUUGUGGUCCCGGUGGUCGCGGGUUCAAGUCCCGUCAUCCACCCCA
rnacentral:tRNA from 2 species